CAACAUGUAAUGCAGUGUUUUUUGUUUUAAAUUGAGUCUUUUUUAUUUUUUUUAUAUAUAUAUUUUCAAAAAAUCACAAAAAAAAAUAACAUUUCAAGAAAUUAUUUAGCAGUAUGUUUUUUAAUAAUGAUGAAAAAGGGGGAAGUUCAAGACUACAUGUUUGUUUUGGAAGCUUGCUAAAUGUGUUCUUGUAAUUUGAAACUUUCAACAAAUGAAUAGCGAUUUUAGUAUUAAGGUUCACAUCAGCUCUCAUAACAAUAAGAAUCUCCUUUGCCAUUAUAAGCACAGUUGUUUUGUAUCUAGAAAAAUAACACGUGAGGCCUUGUGAAUAUGACAAAUCUCUUGCGGAUUUAAGCAGCGCUGAACUUCAGUGCUCAUCACACUUUCACAUGAAUUGUUCUCAUCCAACCAUCACUUUUUUCUGUCCUAUUAUGAAGUGUGUGUAAAAAAACAACAGUAAUCGUUUGUUUCCACAGUUGUAAACCGUGAAACCUCGAAGAGCGUGACUCCAUCCUAACAAUUAUCCUAAAAAAUGGGAAAAAGCCAUCAGCUCCAGACUCACAAAAAGAGAGAGGGGGGCGGGGGAAGCAAGUUGUUAUUUUGCCCGAAGCACAGCUAACUGCAUCAACAAAAAAAAUGUACGGUCUGUACAGAGCGCUGUGUGACACAGGAAAGCCAGUCAUUUUAAUAAAAAAGGACAGUUCUUUUGUGAAAAAGUGCUGAGCCCUUUGCAUUCUAGGCAGAGAGAAAAAUGUUUAAAUAUCCAGAUUUUUAUUCUAUCUGAUAUGUGGUUGUGUGCGUGUUAGGGUGUGCUGGUGCUUUAAGAGCAUGGAAAUCAGGGUCUCCUCCAAGUGAUCUCCAGGGAGUUCAGCUGAGUUUGAAGUACAAAUGCUGAAUUUAUUUAACCUCUUUACAAAUGUGCAUAUAUAUUCCAUUCUUUCAGCCUCAUUUCCAUAAAAAUUUAUCUUAAAGACAUCGGGAAGUGUUUUUAAUUAAGUUUAAUGACAGAGGCUUUUUUUGUCCUUGACAAGUUAGUUAUAGUUUAAAAUGACAAUAUUCAUUAAAAUUCUCUAUGUGGUGCUUACAUUUCAGAAAAAGAUUGGUGUGUUUGCUACAUGCUUUAUGAUAAAGUGUUAGUUGUAUGUCUCUAUUAUCUGUGAGAAUGUGAGAAAAUAAUCACUCGCGAUAGGCUCGUGUUUUACAAUAACGUGUGCUGACAGUUGGUGAUGAUGGGCUUUGAACCAAAUCACAGAAAUUGCGUUACCAGAAAUCAUGCGAGACGUGGAAACUUCUUAAAUUGGAUGUUGUAAUCGAAUUGCAACAUUUAAAGAUCUCUGUGAAAAACGGCAAAUGCAUGCUUGUAUGUGUGGGUUGUUGAAGCCUGUUUCAUCAAUUAAAUUGUUUAAUAUGUAAUAUUAUUCAUGUUUUACAUAAUUAAAAAAUGACAGUUAUGAAGUAUAGAGAGAACUGGGGUUAUUGUGUUACUUCUUGUGUUUUGAUCAUUUAUUGAGAAAUGAUU
ensembl:lncRNA